UCCUUAUUAGUACAGUGGUGAGUAUCCCCGCCUGUCAUGCGGGAGUCUGGGGUUUGAUUCCCUGACAGGCAG